rnacentral:lncRNA from 1 species
CGGGGGGCGCUUCCUGGGGCCGCGCGUCCAGUGAGCUGCGCGGUCCGUCCGUCCGCCCGCAGGCACUGCUGGAGUCAACGCCCCCAGGAUGCUCCCAUUUGCCUCCUGCCUCCCCGGGUCUUUACUGCUCUGGGCGUUUCUGCUGUUGCUCUUGGGAGCAGCGUCCCCACAGGAUUCCGAAGAGCCGGACAGCUACACGGAAUGCACAGAUGGCUAUGAGUGGGAUGCAGACAGCCAGCAUUGCCGGGGUGAGUAUGUCUGGGGUACUAGCCAUCUUCAGGAACUGGGAAGGGGAUUACUUCUGUUUCCCAGGGACACCUUAUCUCCCAGAGCUGCAGCAGGAACUUGAUGGCCUUCCCACUGUCCACCCUGGUAGCCAGCCAUCUGGUAGGCAGCCAUGCUUCUCUUGUGCCACUCAAUUAGGAGCCCUACCCCUUCAAGAGGGUGAACAAACUCUGCCUCUGUCCUGCAGGAGGCAAGAGAGCACCUGGCUAUUGCCCAGAAAGAAGGAAAUACGUACACCUUCCCUGAACUGCACUGCACUCUCCCAGCCCAGCUCUAUCCCAGUGCACCCUGGGAGGGCAGUACAAGCUCUGUGGGUCAGGAGGCCUGCAAAUUACUCUUGGGCAAAGGUAGAGGCAGGGAUUUGAAGAGAAACGGAAACUCACAUGGAGGCAGGAGAAUGGGG